rnacentral:rRNA from 1 species
AGUGAACGCUGGCGGUAGGCCUAACACAUGCAAGUCGAACGGCAGCACAGAGGAGCUUGCUCCUUGGGUGGCGAGUGGCGGACGGGUGAGGAAUACAUCGGAAUCUACUCUGUCGUGGGGGAUAACGUAGGGAAACUUACGCUAAUACCGCAUACGACCUACGGGUGAAAGCAGGGGAUCUUUGGACCUUGCGCGAUUGAAUGAGCCGAUGUCGGAUUAGCUAGUUGGCGGGGGAAAGGCCCACCAAGGCGACGAUCCGUAGCUGGUCUGAGAGGAUGAUCAGCCACACUGGAACUGAGACACGGUCCAGACUCCUACGGGAGGCAGCAGUGGGGAAUAUUGGACAAUGGGCGCAAGCCUGAUCCAGCCAUACCGCGUGGGUGAAGAAGGCCUUCGGGUUGUAAAGCCCUUUUGUUGGGAAAGAAAUCCAUCUGGUUAAUACCCGGGUGGGAUGACGGUACCCAAAGAAUAAGCACCGGCUAACUUCGUGCCAGCAGCAGCCGCAG